AUUCUUACGGGAGGCAGCAGUGGGGAAUCUUGGACAAUGGGCGCAAGCAUGAUGCAGCCAUGCCGCGUGAGUGAUGAAGUCGUUAGGGUUGUAAAGCUCUGGUUUUUCUGGAUGAUAAUGACUGUACCGGGAUACAUAGGCUCCGGCUAACUUCGUGCCAACAACCGCGGUAAUACAUCUGUGCCAGCAGCCGCGGUAAUA
rnacentral:rRNA from 1 species